GUUAAGGUGUCCGAAUAAGGUGAUAAAUUGUAAGUUUAUUUAUGGAUUUAAUUUCUCUUAAUA
rnacentral:tRNA from 1 species